AGUGAACGCUGGCGGCAGGCCUAACACAUGCAAGUCGAGCGGCAGCGCGGGGGCAACUCUGGCGGCGAGCGGCGGACGGGUGAGGAAUUCGUGGGAACAUGCCUAUCUGUGGGGGCUAACGUAGGGAAACAUACGCUAAUACCGCAUAAGUCCUUCGGGCGAACGUGGGGGAGCGCAAGGCCUUCCGCAGAUAGAUGAGCCGACGACCGAUUAGCGAGUUGGGGGGGUAAAGGCCCACCAAGGCAACGAUCGGUCGCUGGUCUGAGGGGAUGAUCAGCCACACUGAAACUAGGACACGGCCCAGACUCUUACGGGAGGCAGAGGUGGGGAAUAUGGGACAAGGGGCGCAGGCUUGUCCAAGCCAUGCGGCGGGGGUGAAGAAGGCCUUCGGGUUGUAAAGCACUUUUGUGGGGAAGGAAAGCACUGGGGCUAAUACCUGCGGGGGUGGAGGGAACCGGAAGAAAAGGCACCGGCUAACUUCUU
rnacentral:rRNA from 1 species